GCUUUAAUAAUUUAAUCUAAAAUAUUGAUUUUGUAAAUCAAACAUAAAUUUAAAUAUAUAAUUUUUAAAGUA
rnacentral:tRNA from 1 species